UUUUUUUUGUAUCAACCAAUUUCCGGUUUUAAUCGAAUUUUUAUUUUUGAAUGUUUUUUAUUUUUUUCGACGAGAUUUUUAUUUCGAAUGUUGUUUUAUUUUAUUUCCGAUCGAAGAUUUAAAAUAUUUUUGGCAGCAUUUUAUAAAAAAUUGGCCUAAUUUUUUUAUUUUUGGAAUAAAAUACGUUAAUUUGGAAUAAUUUUUUAAUUACGCUAUUUUGUCCGC